ensembl:lncRNA
CACGGCUCGGGGCUCUCAGGGCUUCCUUGGAGUUGCUGGGAGCGUCUGCUGUUAGCAGCAGUUGCUGCGGGAACUCUCCCGUGCUUUCAGCACUCGACCUCCGUUGUACUCUUGAGGGCUUCACCCGACGGCUGCGGGCUGCGGGCUGUGGAUGCGAUGGCAGUGGAUGCAAGUGAGCAGUCCCGUGAGAAGCUCCUUGUUUGCCAAGUUCCUGCCGUGAGGCUGUAGGACCGAGGCCCUCUUUAGCGCACCGCUACAGAGCCAUAGGAAUCUGGGAUGCUUCUGCACACGUACGGCUUGCUGUGCUCUGAUGUUAGCAAUGGAGGCGGGGAUUUGGGAUUUGGGAUUUGGGAUUGGGGAUUUGGGAUAUGGGAUUUGGGAUUUGGCCUUUGGCUUUUGGCCUUUGGCCUUUGGCCGGGGAGGAGAUGGAUAGCGAUGGCUGGAGGUUCUCUUCCCUUCAGGAAAGAAGCUCCUGCUCUGGCUCCGCCAAGGCUUUGCUUCUCUCCUAGAAAGAAGCCAUUCCAGAAGUUUGGGCUGCUGCUGCGUAAUCUCUCCUUGGAAUGCUGGGGACAUCACACCCGAAAUGCUUGGGCGUUUGCUUUGUUGUUCAACAGACGCCUGCAGUUCCCGUUCUGGCAGCGGCUCGGUGCAAGCGCAGGCCCAAGGGAGAUGUCAGCUGCGGAGACGUGCCCUUCCUCCACAGCACGGGAAAGCAAGUCGGGGAGAAGAGCUGGAGGCAGCUGAACCUAUAUGAGAAAAUGGAACGGAGAGAGCCUGCGAAGGAGGAGAUCCCUGAGAAAAAGCGCAACACCAGCCAGAAGCUCAGCCUCGGAUACCUGCACAUGGCCGUCAGACAGAAGACGGGCAUGAAGACGAGAGCAGGGUCAGACCCUAAAGAACAGCAAGGCCACCUUGGCUAUGGAGCAGACAGUGGACCUGAAAUUGCAACAAGAAACAGGUACACACACACACACACACUCAGGGGAGAAACCCCUUCACCAGGGGCUUCUACCCCACGCACGGGGUCCCCUCCUCAGCCGGAGGGCACCCCAGUUCCACCCGCACGCAAGGGGAACCCUUGAAAACUUCAGGGCUAAGCCCCAUCUCACCUCCACGCACGGGGUCCUCUCCUCAGCUGGAGGGCACCCCAUUUCCACCCGCACGCAAGGGGAACCC